rnacentral:lncRNA from 1 species
AAACCAAGAUGAUCUGUUUUCCAUCUUCAUAGGAUACGUCCCUGCUGCUGCACUUGUGUUUAACCACAGAAUAUUAUAAGCCUUUCUAAGAGGAGCCGAGAUGUCUGGGCCUUCGUCCUCCCAGACCACCCCGCAGUUCUACAGGGUCAGUGAGAGAGAUCUCACCGAGAUCGAGCUCCAUUCUGUGGACUCCAUCAACGAUCUCCACCGAACACACCCAGAACACAAAGGGGUGAGGCCUCCUCGUCCUGCUUACACACCCUCAUUGAAUGGGAACCUCUAUGCAUGUGACAUGACAGCUGUCAAUCAAAGAGGUCAGCCAGCCAACAGCAAAUGGCAGAGCCGUCUGCACCAAAUGCUGACACCCAGUUCGUCACGUGCAUACGCAAUGGGCUGUGCCAUUAUCACUCUGCUCCUGCUAACGGUGUUACUCAUCUUCUACUUUCUGGUCCAGCAGGGCGGCACAAUCCAGAGGCUGACUGAGGCAGUCAGGGAGAAAGAAGCUGCAGCAGCAGAGCUGUCGCUGCUGAUCCAAGAACUGCAGGCGCUGAGACACAACCUGACAGCCAUGAAAGGAAGGACAUGA